CAGUAGCCGCGGGAAUACGAAGGGGGCUAGCGUUGUUCGGAUUUACUGGGCGUAAAGGGCGCGUAGGCGGACUGAUAAGUCAGGGGUGAAAUCCCAAGGCUCAACCUUGGAACUGCCUUUGAUACUGUUUGUCUUGAGUUCGAGAGAGGUAAGUGGAACUGCGAGUGUAGAGGUGAAAUUCGUAGAUAUUCGCAAGAACACCAGUGGCGAAGGCGGCUUACUGGCUCGAAACUGACGCUGAGGCGCGAAAGCGUGGGGAGCAAACAGGAUUAGAUACCCCGUAGUCCCUGUCUCUUAUACA
rnacentral:rRNA from 1 species